rnacentral:rRNA from 1 species
ACGCACGCUGGCGGCGUGCCUAAUACAUGCAAGUCGAGCGAAGUUUUUCUGGUGCUUGCACUAGAAAAACUUAGCGGCGAACGGGUGAGUAACACGUAAAGAACCUGCCUCAUAGACUGGGACAACUAUUGGAAACGAUAGCUAAUACCGGAUAACAGUAUUUCUCGCAUGAGAGAUAUUUAAAAGUUGGUUAUGCUAACACUAUGAGAUGGCUUUGCGGUGCAUUAGCUAGUUGGUGGGGUAAAGGCCCACCAAGGCGACGAUGCAUAGCCGACCUGAGAGGGUGAUCGGCCACACUGGGACUGAGACACGGCCCAGACUCCUACGGGAGGCAGCAGUAGGGAAUCUUCCGCAAUGGGCGAAAGCCUGACGGAGCAACGCCGCGUGAGUGAAGAAGGAUUUCGGUUCGUAAAGCUCUGUUGUUAGGGAAGAAUGGAUAUGUAGUAACUAUACAUGUAAGAGACGGUACCUAACCAGAAAGCCACGGCUAACUACGUG